UACGGAGGGUGCGAGCGUUGUCCGGAAUCACUGGGCGUAAAGGGCGCGUAGGCGGCGCGGGCAGUCAACGGUGAAAGCUUGGGGCUCAACCCCGAGUCGGCCGUCGAUACUCCCGUGCUUGAGCACUGUAGAGGCAGGUGGAAUUCCGGGUGUAGCGGUGGAAUGCGUAGAGAUCAGGAAGAACACCGGUGGCGAAAGCGUUCUGCUAGACCUGUACUGACACUGAGGGACGAAAGCUAGGGGAGCGAAUGGG
rnacentral:rRNA from 1 species